UUCACAGUUUCUCUUUCUCAAGAACAACAUGUGUUAAUGCUUCUCUCUUCAAGUUAUCUAAGUUUUCUCUCUCUACUUUCCAUUUGGAAUCUCUUGAUCAACCACUAUUUGGGAUCUCCAGUUGGUGAAAUUAUAUAACAAAAAUUUGUGCUAUAAUUAUCGGCGACACGGCGAAAGAAUCGAUUUUCCUGAUGGUAAAAAGACCUCAAGGCUCUAUUAGGUUUUUGACUGGCUAAGGGAGUAAAGGUGGCCUUUUCGCAAAUCGCAACGGUGAAUGUGUGAAGUUUUAUCUGGGUUGUCAAUUUUUUCACAACUUCUACUCUAAAAGACAUAUGUAACCAAUGAAAGAAGGUUACUCUUUCAUGUUUACCUUUAUCUAGUCCAGCAGGAUGUCUUAAGGAAGGAGGUCUUGGCAUGUUAACUUGUACUUAGGGAAAAAUAUCUGUCAAAAAGAGCCUAUUUGCUAUGAAACUUUUGCAUAAUAUUUCGAAGUGUGAUUAGGCAAUAGACACUAAUGUAGUUUCCAUUUCUCUGUCUCUUCUUUCAGAUAGAUGGCAACAUGUUUUGAGCGGAGACCUAUAUGAAAUGUGUAGUUAUUGACUUAUUUCCCCUAUUUGAUUAUGUUUCCUAGAUCCGAUUGUACUAUUUUAUUAAAGUAUAUUGCAGUUGGCUGUAAGUUAGGUAUUUAUGUUAGUAAUUGUUGGCCAUACUAGAUGCAUGAAUGGCUGCUAAUUAUCGUCUCUGUAGUCUGUUUAAGGAUGAUACAAGUAAUAAUUAGUACUUUAAAAAACAAAGGAUCGCAAUGAUUAGUAUCAUCUAGGCUUAGCUGGGAAUUUAUUGGAGAUUACGUGCACAUUAUUUUGUCCGGAGAAAAAGCUAUCUGUAGUUAUUGGGGGCAGGCCGGUGCACAAAGUAUCCCGCAUUCACGCAGGGUCCGGGGAAGGACGCCACCCCAAGGGGUGUGAUGUAGACAGCCUAUUCUAAUGCCAAGCAUUAGUGGCUGCUUCCACGGCUCGAACCCGUGACUAAUAAGUCACACAGAGAUAAUUUUACCGUUGCUCCAAUGCUCCCCUUCAUGAUAUGUAGUUAUUGCGAUGUAAUAAUGUCAAUGAUACGUUUCCAGGUCAGACAUUUGGUUUCUGAGGAAUUUGAAUGCUUUAGAAAUGUCAUUCUAUUCUUCUAUAUGACGUUACUAAUAAAUGCAGAAUCUACACUUUUCUUUUUUUAUCUGCACUCUUAUUUUUGGUAAAACGGUAUGAUUAGUGGAAAUCCUUUAAUUGCAUAGCUGCAAAUGGGCUAGCCAGCCGUUUAAACUUUACAAGGAUACUUUUUUGUAGCCACAAGGCUACAUUUAGUUGAAGCCUUACGGCUGUUGCUUGAGAAAUUAUGCUUACUGUGAUGCCAUUAGUAUCAUGCAGCUACCUUUCCAGUUUCAAUAAAAUUGAAAUAUUUCGCCUCUAAUGUAGGGGUGGCAUGUGGGCCGGUACGGGCCCUAAACGGGCAAAGUGGGCCGGUCCAAAUGGUACUGGUCCCGGUCCCUAACUAAACGGGCCAAACGGUCUUUUUCUAGGAACUGGCCCGAGACCGGGCCCACAAACUCAUGGUCUCGGGCUAAACGGGCCGGGCCCGCGGGCUAAAUGAGCC